rnacentral:rRNA from 1 species
GAUGAACGCUGGCGGCGUGCCUAACACAUGCAAGUCGAGCGGCAGCGAGGGGUGCUUGCACCCUGUCGGCGAGCGGCGGACGGCUGAGUAGCGCGUGGGAACGUGCCCCAAAGUGAGGAAUAACUGCCCGAAAGGGUAGCUAAUACCGCAUAUUAUCUUCGGAUCAAAGGAUUAUUCGCUUUGGGAGCGGCUCGCGUCGGAGUAGGGAGGUGGUGAGGUAAUGGGUCACCAAGCCGACGAUCCGUAGCUGGUCUGAGAGGAUGACCAGCCAGACUGGAACUGAGACACGGUCCAGACUCCUACGGGAGGCAGCAGUGAGGAAUCUUCCACAAUGGGCGAAAGCCUGAUGGAGCAACGCCGCGUGCAGGACGAAGGCCUUCGGGUUGUAAACUGCUUUUAUAAGUGAGGAAUAUGACGGUAACUUAUGAAUAAGGAUCGGCUAACUACGUG